rnacentral:rRNA from 1 species
AGCGAACGCUGGCGGCAGGCUUAACACAUGCAAGUCGAGCGGGCGUAGCAAUACGUCAGCGGCAGACGGGUGAGUAACGCGUGGGAACAUACCUUUUGGUUCGGAACAACCCAGGGAAACUUGGGCUAAUACCGGAUAAGCCCUUACGGGGAAAGAUUUAUCGCCGAAAGAUUGGCCCGCGUCUGAUUAGCUAGUUGGUGAGGUAAUGGCUCACCAAGGCGACGAUCAGUAGCUGGUCGAGAGGAUGAUCAGCC